AAAUUGAAGAGUUUGAUCAUGGCUCAGAUUGAACGCUGGCGGCAGGCCUAACACAUGCAAGUCGAACGGUAACAGGAAGCAGCUUGCUGCUUUGCUGACGAGUGGCGGACGGGUGAGUAAUGUCUGGGAAACUGCCCGAUGGAGGGGGAUAACUACUGGAAACGGUGGCUAAUACCGCAUAACGUCGCAAGACC
rnacentral:rRNA from 1 species